AUGGAAGCUCCAGUAAUAAGUGUCCAGAACAAUCAGAGGGGUAGAACUUAGAGUCCCCAGGAAUCAGCAUUCUCAAGUGCCUUGGUGGGAAACAGACACCAAAAAAGGACCCCGAGGGCUGUGUGUAAAACCGUAGGAAACAUACCGGCUCAUAAAAUCAGGACACUUGGACAGGAGGGCACAGGUGCCCCUGCUAUGCAGCCUGAAGCAAAGGUUCACCAGCAGGAGAAGCCUAAGGAAUUUUGGGUUACCAAAGCAGACAGAUUGCCUGCUUCAACUUGCAGGAAUCAGGAUUACUGAAAACAGGACGGAAAGUCUUUUAUCCUUCAAGAGGACGGUUCCCAAGAAGUGGUGCAGAGCAUGCUGUGGUUCAUGCCUUCCUUCCCCACCAAGUCCAGUCUUGCCAAAGAGGAGGUUUGCUGGGACCAGGGAGAUGCCGGCCCUCCCCAGUGUCAGCUGCUCCUAAAAACGUUUUCUUGUCUUGGCUACAGACACCUAUCAGGAUGUACCCAGAGCCUCUGUCUACUAUGCCAACAGAAUAUAAUACCUGACAAGAGGAAAUAAAUCUGAUUAUCCAAAGCAGAAGCCAAAACCAGAAGGGUGGUUGCAGGUUCCAGCGGUGAAUAAAUCCAAGGCUGUUCUUUUGCAACAGACAGCCUGGAUGUUUAAGAGGAAGUGAGAAGUCACUCAAGACCACUUCUCUAGCCUCCAAACUGGUCUCUCUGAUCAUCUCUUCUCUGCCCCAGGCAGUAGGGUUACCUUUCCCAAAAGCCCACUUUGAUUGUUAAUAAAAUAAAGUGGUUCUUCAGGCAUCAUAUAUGAUCCAAGACUCUUAGCUUGGCUUUUACAAUUGUCUGAGUUGAAGCAGUAUUUCCAGGACUACCUCCAGCUAAACUCAAUAAACUCAAGGCCAGCAGGUUGACUCAUCUGUUCUCCAAAGAAAAAAAAGAAAAAAGAAAAAAAAAAAAAACUUCCUUUCCACCUUUGUGCUUGCUGCUUGGCACCCACCCCACAUCCAUCACCAUUUAUUACCAUCUUUCAAGAUCCAACUCAACACCACCUCCUCCAGGAAGACCUCCUAAUUCUCCCAGCCUUCAGUGCUCUCUCUGUCUUCGGAACUUCUGCAGGCCCCAUUGUCUCUGCUCCUUGUGGGAUUCUUCUCAUGUGGCCUUGUACUGCAACUGCUUUCUAAAUGGGCUGUACUCUCUUCAGGAGUUAGUGGUUUUGGGGAUUUUCUGCACCAAGAAUUUCCUGAUAUCUCUCAGUACUUAGCAUUACCUUUCACAUGUAAUAUUGACUCACGGCAUUUAGAUUAGAAGAGGCCUGCUAUGGACUGAAUUGCAUCUCUACCCCCCACAAAAAUUCAUAUGUUGAAGCCCUACCCCCCAAUGUGAUGGUAUUUGGAGAGAGAAGCCAGCCAUCUGCAAGCCAGGAAGAGAGCUCUGAUCAGACCCUGCCAUGCUGGCACCCUGGUCUCAGACUGUGCCUUCCAGAACCGUGAAAAUGGAACUCCAAGAAAGAAGUGACUAUUCAGCUCCAGCUCAAAAUAUGUCACAUGAGCUUUUCCUCAAGAAGAUUGUACCUCAGUGUGCAGAAGCUCUCCUGUCCCAUAUUGUCACACAGAAUUAUAAAAAGAUGUAUACUUAAA